rnacentral:rRNA from 1 species
AUACGUAGGUGGCAAGCGUUGUCCGGAAUUACUGGGUGUAAAGGGCGUGUAGGCGGGGAUGCAAGUCAGAUGUGAAAUUCCGGGGCUCAACCCCGGCACUGCAUCUGAAACUGUGUCUCUUGAGUGCUGGAGAGGAAAGCGGAAUUCCUAGUGUAGCGGUGAAAUGCGUAGAUAUUAGGAAGAACACCGGUGGCGAAGGCGACUAUCUGGACAGUAACUGACGCUGAGGUGCGAAAGCUUGGGGAGCAAACAGGAUGAGAUACCCUGGUAGUCCACGCCGCAAACGAUGAAUACUAGGUGUAGGGGGUAUCGACUCCCUCUGUGCCGCAGUUAACACAAUAAGGAUUCCGCCUGGGGAGUACGGCCGCAAGGUUGAAACUCAAAUGAAUUGACGGGG